AUUGAACGCUGGCGGCAAGCUUUACACAUGCAAGUCGAACGGUAACAGGUUAAGCUGACGAGUGGCGAACGGGUGAGUAAUGCAUCGGAACGUGCCCGGUCGUGGGGGAUAACGCAGCGGAAGCUGCGCUAAUACGGCAUACGCUCUGAGGAUGAAAGCGGGGGACCGUAAGGCCUCGCGCGAUCGGAGCGGCCGAUGUCGGAUUAGGUAGUUGGUGGGGUAAAGGCUCACCAAGCCAACGAUCUGUAGCUGGGCUGAGAGGACGACCAGCCAUACAGGGACUGAGACACGGCCCAGACUCCUACGGGAGGCAGCAGUGGGGAAUUUUGGACGAUGGGCGAAAGCCUGAUCCAGCAAUGACGCGUGCAGGAAGAAGGCCUUCGGGUUGUAAACUGCUUUUGUACGGGGCGAAAAGGUCGCCUCUAAUACAGGGAGCUCAUGACGGUACCGUAAGAAUAAGCACCGGCUAACUACGUGCCAGCAGCCGCCGUAA
rnacentral:rRNA from 1 species